rnacentral:rRNA from 1 species
UACAGAGGCCCCAACCGUUGCUCGGAAUCACUGGGCGUAAAGGGUGCGUAGGCGGCAUGGCAAGUCAGAUGUGAAAUCCCGGGGCUCAACCUCGGAACUGCAUCCGAUACUACCGUGCUAGAGGACUGGAGGGGAAACUGGAAUUCUCGGUGUAGCAGUGAAAUGCGUAGAUAUCGUGAGGAACGCCAGUGGCGAAAGCGGGUUUCUGGACAGUCUCUGACGCUGAGGCACGAAGGCCAGGGGAGCGAACGGG